rnacentral:rRNA from 1 species
CACGUAGGCGGACCGGAAAGUUGGAGGUGAAAUCCCAGGGCUCAACCUUGGAACUGCCUUCAAAACUAUCGGUCUGGAGUUCGAGAGAGGUGAGUGGAAUUCCGAGUGUAGAGGUGAAAUUCGUAGAUAUUCGGAAGAACACCAAUGGCGAAGGCAGGUCUCUGGGCCGUCACUGACGCUGAGGAGCGAAAGCGUGGGGAGCGAAACA